UGGUUGGCCUUUAGCUUGUAGCAG
rnacentral:misc_RNA from 1 species